rnacentral:rRNA from 1 species
GAUGUACGCUAGCGGGAGGCCUAACACAUGCAAGCCGAGCGGUAGAGAUUCUUCGGAAUCUUGAGAGCGGCGUACGGGUGCGGAACACGUGUGCAACCUACCUUUAUCUGGAGGAUAGCCUUUCGAAAGGAAGAUUAAUACUCCAUAAUAUAUUGAUUGGCAUCAAUUGAUAUUGAAAGCUCCGGCGGAUAGAGAUGGGCACGCGCAAGAUUAGUUAGUUGGUGAGGUAACGGCUCACCAAGACGAUGAUCUUUAGGGGCCUGAGAGGGUGAUCCCCACACUGGUACUGAGACACGGACCAGACUCCUACGGGAGCAGCAGUGAGGAAUAUUGGUCAAUGGGUGCAAGCCUGAACCAGCCAUCCCGCGUGAAGGACGACUGCCCUAUGGGUU